GACGAACGCUGGCGGCGUGCCUAAUACAUGCAAGUUGAGCGCUGAAGGUUGGUACUUGUACCAACUGGAUGAGCAGCGAACGGGUGAGUAACGCGUGGGGAAUCUGCCUUUGAGCGGGGGACAACAUUUGGAAACGAAUGCUAAUACCGCAUAAAAACUUUAAACACAAGUUUUAAGUUUGAAAGAUGCAAUUGCAUCACUCAAAGAUGAUCCCGCGUUGUAUUAGCUAGUUGGUGAGGUAAAGGCUCACCAAGGCGAUGAUACAUAGCCGACCUGAGAGGGUGAUCGGCCACAUUGGGACUGAGACAAGGCCCAAACGCCUACGGGAGGCAGCAGUAGGGAAUCUUCGGCAAGGGGCGAAAGUCUGAACGAGCAACGCCGCGUGAGUGAAGAAGGUUUUCGGAUCGGAAAACUCUGUUGGUAGAGAAGAAAGUUGGUGAGAGUGGAAAGCUCAUCAAGUGACGGUAACUACCCAGAAAGGGACGGCUAACUACGUG
rnacentral:rRNA from 1 species